AUUGAGCGCUGGCGGAAUGCUUUACACAUGCAAGUCGAACGGCAGCACGGACUUCGGUCUGGUGGCGAGUGGCGAACGGGUGAGUAAUGUAUCGGAACGUGCCCAGUCGUGGGGGAUAACGUAGUGAAAAUUACGCUAAUACCGCAUACGAUCUAUGGAUGAAAGCGGGGGAUCGUAAGGCCUCGCGCGAUUGGAGCGGCCGAUGUCAGAUUAGGUAGUUGGUGAGGUAAAGGCUCACCAAGCCGACGAUCUGUAGCUGGUCUGAGAGGACGACCAGCCAAACUGGGACUGGGACACGGCCCAGACUCCUACGGGAGGCAGCAGUGGGGAAUAUUGGACAAUGGGGGGAACCCUGAUCCAGCCAUGCCGCGUGUGUGAAGAAGGCCUUAUGGUUGUAAAGCGCUUUAAGCGAGGAGGAGGCUCUUUUGGUUAAUACCCAAGAUGAGUGGACGUUACUCGCAGAAUAAGCACCGGCUAACUCUGUGCCAGCCGCCGCCGUAA
rnacentral:rRNA from 1 species